rnacentral:rRNA from 1 species
UGGGGAAUAUUGCACAAUGGGCGCAAGCCUGAUGCAGCCAUGCCGCGUGUGUGAAGAAGGCCUUCGGGUUGUAAAGCACGUUCAGCGGGGAGGAAGGCGGUGAGGUUAAUAACCUCACCGAUUGACGUUACCCGCAGAAGAAGCACCGGCUAACUCCGUGCCAGCAGCCGCGGUAAUACGGAGGGUGCAAGCGUUAAUCGGAAUUACUGGGCGUAAAGCGCACGCAGGCGGUCUGUCAAGUCGGAUGUGAAAUCCCCGGGCUCAACCUGGGAACUGCAUUCGAAACUGGCAGGCUAGAGUCUUGUAGAGGGGGGUAGAAUUCCAGGUGUAGCGGUGAAAUGCGUAGAGAUCUGGAGGAAUACCGGUGGCGAAGGCGGCCCCCUGGACAAAGACUGACGCUCAGGUGCGAAAGCGUGGGGAGCAAACAGG